UACGUAGGGUGCAAGCGUUGUCCGGAAUUAUUGGGCGUAAAGAGCUUGUAGGCGGUUUGUCGCGUCUGCUGUGAAAAUCCGGGGCUCAACCCCGGACUUGCAGUGGGUACGGGCAGACUGGAGUGUGGUAGGGGAGACUGGAAUUCCUGGUGUAGCGGUGGAAUGCGCAGAUAUCAGGAGGAACACCGAUGGCGAAGGCAGGUCUCUGGGCCGCUACUGACGCUGAGAAGCGAAAGCAUGGGGAGCGAACAGG
rnacentral:rRNA from 1 species